rfam:Dacryopinax sp. DJM-731 SS1 chromosome Tnknown DACRYscaffold_8, whole genome shotgun sequence.
GGCCAGAUAGUGCAGUGGUAGUGCACCUGAGUACAAACCAGGAGGCACCCAGGGUUUGAUUCCUGGUCUAGCCA